GGAACUAGAACGAGAUGAGCCAAACUUCCAGAGGGAAGACCAUGGUCUCCGCCUUUCUUGGUUCUGAGAAAUGUUCUCCCUAGCACUAACUCGCCUACUGCUGCUUCUGCUUUCACUCCUUGAGCUUCGAGAAGAAUGGUCAUUGCCAGAUUUUUCAGGUAUCAGCUCCUUUCUACAAACAGGACAUGAAUUCUUCUGUUGUAGCCAUGGCGUGAUACAAUCCGAGUGAUAUAAGUGCUUGCAAGGCAAUUUUGUUGCCUUAGUCCCCAGAGCAAAUUUCUCCUUACAAACAGGGCAGUGCGAAUCCGAUCUAACAUCCUUUUUUGAUAUCUUGACUGUUGGUAGGGAAUCAAUUGAACAUCUCGAGACAGGAGGAGGAGCACCACGCUGAUUUCUAUUUACAAUUUCUUCAAAAAAUUCCUCCACUCCUGGACCAACAAAAUAAUCACCACCAUUUUCUUGUCGGAAUCCAAGUGCCUCAUUAAGAAACUCCAAAACUCCACCAUCCCCAG
rnacentral:misc_RNA from 1 species